AGCAAGGAAUUUUCCGCAAUGGGCGCAAGCCUGACGGAGCAACGCCGCGUGCGGGAGGACGCCCUUCGGGGUGUAAACCGCUUUUCUUGGGGACGACGAGCGACGGUACCCGAGGAAGAAGGACCGGCUAACUACGUGCCAGCAGCCGCGGUAAUACGUAGGGUCCGAGCGUUGUCCGGAGUUACUGGGCGUAAAGCGCGCGCAGGCGGCUCGGCAAGCAUGGCGUGAAAGCCCCCGGCUCAACCGGGGAGAGUCGUCGUGGACUGCCGGGCUUGAGGGCGGCAGGGGCUGGUGGAAUUCCCGGUGUAGUGGUGAAAUGCGUAGAGAUCGGGAGGAACACCCGUGGCGAAGGCGGCCAGCUGGGCCGGCCCUGACGCUGAGGCGCGAAGGCGUGGGGAGCGAA
rnacentral:rRNA from 1 species